rnacentral:rRNA from 1 species
CACGUAGGGCGCAAGCGUUGUUCGGAUUCACUGGGCGUAAAGGGUGCGUAGGCGGUCAGGUAAGUCUGAUGUGAAAUCUCUGGGCUUAACCCAGAAACGGCAUUGGAUACUAUUUGGCUUGAGAGUUGGAGGGGGGACUGGAAUUCUUGGUGUAGCAGUGAAAUGCGUAGAUAUCAAGAGGAACACCAGUGGCGAAGGCGAGUCCCUGGACAACUUCUGACGCUGAGGCACGAAAGCUAGGGGAGCAAACAGG